CAUAAUCAUUAGUUUUUUAAUUGAAAACUUGUAUGAAUGGUUAAACAAAAGAAGUUCUGUCUCUUUUUUAGAAAUUGAAUUUAACUUUUAGGUGAAAAGGCUUAAAUUUUUUAAGGGGACGAUAAGACCCUAUAAAGCUUUAUAAUAAAAUAGCAUUUUUUUAAAAUAAAUCAUAAAGAUAAAAUUUUGUUUUUUUAUUUUAUUGGGGCGAUACGGAUAAAAAUAUAAUUAACUGUCAGAAUAAAAUACAUAAUAUUUAUGGAAUGUAAAAUGAUCCUAAAUCAAGAUUAAAAGAUAAAGUUACUUUAGGGAUAACAGCGUUAUUUCUUUUGAGAGUUCUUAUUGAAAAAGAAGUUUGCGACCUCGAUGUUGAAUUAAAAUAUCUUUACAGUGUAGCCGUUGUAAGAG
rnacentral:rRNA from 1 species